rnacentral:lncRNA from 10 species
CUAGCCUGGGAUAGUUCCAAAGGCAGCCAGGGAUCAGGACUAUUCACACCCCUGGAGGGCCAGGGGGACAUCACACCCAGGGGGAGGCCUCCAAAGGCUGGGCUUAGUUUUGGCCUAAACCCUGCAGGUUCCUGCCCGGCUGACCUCCCUCUGUUAGGCACCAACAGGAUGUCUGUCACUCUGCUUAGCAUUAGCACAUUUCACCCUCAAGGUGAUACUACCCUACUACAGAUAAGGAAACUGAGUCCCAGAGAGGCUGGAGGAACCAGGGUUAUCCAGUGGGCCAGGGGCAGAACUGGGAAUGAACCCAGGACUGCCAGACUCUGAAGCCCACCCUCUUCACUGCCUUGCACCCUGUUGGCCAUGUUCGGGGUUUCUACUCCAAGCUGAAAAUGCCCUGAGAGCAAGCCAGCUUACCAGCACCCAGGGGAGGGUGUGCACCUGCCUCUUCUGGUGUCUUCAAAUAAGGUGUCCAUUUCUCACUGAUGCAAUGCAGGCUUGACUCAUUCCAGGUACUGGAGGCACAGCAAUGUCCAGCCUUGGGAGUUUGGGGGAAGAGUUACCCCAAGAAGCCCCCAUCCUGGUGACAUCUGUGACCCCGCAUGGGGUCCAGCUGAGUGGCUUUUGCACACCCUGGUCGGGUGGAGUGAGAUCACUGGGGAGACGGGACCUGGAGCGCAGGCUGUGAGGACACAGCCAGAGGCCAUGAGUGCUCAGGAGUGCCAUAAACUGUGAUUUUGAGACUGAUAAGGCCAGGCUAAAUAGCUUGCUGGGUGUGUCUUGUUUGCCUUUUUAUAUUUGAGGCCUAUAAAAAAAUAGUGAGAAAAUAGCAAGAUGCCCAGGAGACAGGUGAUCUGAUUCAGCCAGGGGGUGGGAGGUGGAGGCACCAGUGACUCCCGCUAGCCAGGGACUGGAGGCAGGCAGGUCUGGGGACAAGAGGAUGAGGGAUGGGGCCACAUUUGGAGCCUGGUGCACUGAGAGUAAAAGAAGAAAACCUGCUCCA